UACGUAGGCAGCGAGCGUUGUUCGGAGUUACUGGGCGUAAAGGGUGUGUAGGCGGUUGUUUAAGUUUGGUGUGAAAUCUCCCGGCUCAACUGGGAGGGUGCGCCGAAUACUGAGCGGCUAGAGUGCGGGAGAGGAAAGUGGAAUUCCUGGUGUAGCGGUGAAAUGCGUAGAUAUCAGGAGGAACACCGGUGGUGUAAACGGCUUUCUGGACCAUAACUGACGCUGAGGCACGAAAGCGUGGGUAGCAAACAGG
rnacentral:rRNA from 1 species